UGGCUCAGUGGUUAAAGCGUCUGCUUGCAAUGCAGGAGACCUGGGUUCAAUCCCUG
rnacentral:tRNA from 1 species